UACAGAGGGUGCGAGCGUUAAUCGGAAUUACUGGGCGUAAAGCGCGCGUAGGCGGCUUUGCAAGUCGGGUGUGAAAGCCCUGGGCUCAACCCAGGAAGUGCACUCGAAACUGGCAGGCUAGAGUACUGGAGAGGUUGGUGGAAUUCUCGGUGUAGAGGUGAAAUUCGUAGAUAUCGAGAGGAACACCGGUGGCGAAGGCGGCCAACUGGACAGAUACUGACGCUGAGACACGAAAGCGUGGGGAGCAAACAGG
rnacentral:rRNA from 1 species